rnacentral:rRNA from 1 species
GAGAGGUGAAAUGCUAAUCGAACCCGGAGAUAGCUGGUUCUUUCCGAAAUGCCUUUAGGGGCAGCCUCGGUUUAUCUGAUUUGGGGGGUAGAGCACUGUUUAGGCUCGGGCGGGCAACCGUACCAACCCUUGACAAACUCCGAAUACCCAAUUUAGUACCCGGGAGUGAGACUGCGGCAGCUAAGUGCCGUAGUCGCGAGGGAGACAGCCCAGACCGCCGUCUAAGGU